rnacentral:rRNA from 1 species
AUGGCAUUGCACAAUUAUGUUCGCUUCCAUGACAAGUCAGAUCUCCACUUUGUUUGAUGUGAUAGGGAUCCGAAUUAUGUGCCAACAAUUCCAGAACGGUAUAAGAAGUUUGUUGUUCCUACAAAUGCAUCGGAUACGUCAACUUCGGAGAAUGGUGUUGACAUGGAUCUGGUUAGGAACCAACUUGCUACUGACAUUGCUCUAGGUUGGUGA